rnacentral:rRNA from 1 species
AUGAACGCUGGCGGCGUGCCUAAUACAUGCAAGUCGAGCGAACAGACGAGGAGCUUGCUCCUCUGACGUUAGCGGCGGACGGGUGAGUAACACGUGGAUAACCUACCUAUAAGACUGGGAUAACUUCGGGAAACCGGAGCUAAUACCGGAUAAUAUAUUGAACCGCAUGGUUCAAUAGUGAAAGACGGUUUUGCUGUCACUUAUAGAUGGAUCCGCGCCGCAUUAGCUAGUUGGUAAGGUAACGGCUUACCAAGGCAACGAUGCGUAGCCGACCUGAGAGGGUGAUCGGCCACACUGGAACUGAGACACGGUCCAGACUCCUACGGGAGGCAGCAGUAGGGAAUCUUCCGCAAUGGGCGAAAGCCUGACGGAGCAACGCCGCGUGAGUGAUGAAAGUCUUCGGAUCGUAAAACUCUGUUAUUAGGGAAGAACAAAUGUGUAAGUAACUAUGCACGUCUUGACGGUACCUAAUCAGAAAGCCACGGCUAACUACGUG